UACAGAGGGUGCGAGCGUUAAUCGGAGUUACUGGGCGUAAAGGGCGCGUAGGCGGAUAUAUGAGUGUGAUGUGAAAGCCCUGGGCUUAACCUGGGAAGUGCAUCGCAAACGAUGUAUCUGGAGUACAAGAGAGGGUGGCGGAAUUUCCGGUGUAGCGGUGAAAUGCGUAGAGAUCGGAAGGAACGCCGAUGGCGAAGGCAGCCACCUGGCUUGAUACUGACGCUGAGGCGCGAAAGCGUGGGGAGCAAACAGG
rnacentral:rRNA from 1 species